CCUACGGGCGGCAGCAGUAGGGAAUCUUCCACAAUGGGCGAAAGCCUGAUGGAGCAACGCCGCGUGGGUGAAGAAGGUCUUCGGAUCGUAAAACCCUGUUGUUAGAGAAGAAAGUGCGUGAGAGUAACUGUUCACGUUUCGACGGUAUCUAACCAGAAAGCCACGGCUAACUACGUGACAGCAGCCGCGGUAAUACGUAGGUGGCAAGCGUUAUCCGGAUUUAUUGGGCGUAAAGGGAACGCAGGCGGUCUUUUAAGUCUGAUGUGAAAGCCUUCGGCUUAACCGGAGUAGUGCAUUGGAGACUGGGAGACUUGAGUGCAGAAGAGGAGAGUGGAACUCCAUGUGUAGCGGUGAAAUGCGUAGAUAUAUGGAAGAACACCAGUGGCGAAAGCGGCUCUCUGGUCUGUAACUGACGCUGAGGUUCGAAAGCGUGGGUAGCAAACAGGAUUAGAUACCCCAGUAGUC
rnacentral:rRNA from 1 species